rnacentral:rRNA from 1 species
AACGAACGCUGGCGGCAUGCCUAACACAUGCAAGUCGAACGAGACCUUCGGGUCUAGUGGCGCACGGGUGCGUAACGCGUGGGAACCUGCCCUUAGGUUCGGAAUAACUCCCCGAAAGGGGUGCUAAUACCGGAUAAUGUCUUCGGACCAAAGAUUUAUCGCCUUUGGAUGGGCCCGCGUUGGAUUAGCUAGUUGGUAGGGUAAAAGCCUACCAAGGCGACGAUCCAUAGCUGGUCUGAGAGGAUGAUCAGCCACACUGGGGCUGAGACACGGCCCAGACUCCUACGGGAGGCAGCAGUGGGGAAUAUUGGACAAUGGGCGAAAGCCUGAUCCAGCAAUGCCGCGGGAGUGAUGAAGGCCUUAGGGUUGUAAAGCUCUUUUACCCGGGAUGAUAAUGACAGUACCGGGAGAAUAAGCUCCGGCUAACUCCGU